GAAAGAUGGCUUUGGCUAUCACUCUGGGAUGGACCUGCGGUGCAUUAGCUAGUUGGUAAGGUAACGGCUUACCAAGGCGAUGAUGCAUAGCCGAGUUGAGAGACUGAUCGGCCACAAUGGAACUGAGACACGGUCCAUACUCCUACGGGAGGCAGCAGUAGGGAAUCUUCCACAAUGGGCGCAAGCCUGAUGGAGCAACACCGCGUGAGUGAAGAAGGGUUUCGGCUCGUAAAACUCUGUUGUUGGAGAAGAACGUGCGUGAGAGUAACUGUUCACGCAGUGACGGUAUCCAACCAGAAAGUCACGGCUAACUACGUGCCAGCAGCCGCGGUAAUACGUAGGUGGCAAGCGUUAUCCGGAUUUAUUGGGCGUAAAGCGAGCGCAGGCGGUUGCUUAGGUCUGAUGUGAAAGCCUUCGGCUUAACCGAAGAAGUGCAUCGGAAACCGGGCGACUUGAGUGCAGAAGAGGACAGUGGAACUCCAUGUGUAGCGGUGGAAUGCGUAGAUAUAUGGAAGAACACCAGUGGCGAAGGCGGCUGUCUGGUCUGCAACUGACGCUGAGGCUCGAAAGCAUGGGUAGCGAACAGGAUUAGAUACCCUGGUAGUCCAUGCCGUAAACGAUGAGUGCUAGGUGUUGGAGGGUUUCCGCCCUUCAGUGCCGG
rnacentral:rRNA from 1 species